AAGCUCGUAGUUGAAUUUCGGGGUUAGUAGGUUGGUCAUGCCUCUGGUAUGUACUGGUCUCACUGAUUCCUCCUUCCUUAUGAACCGUAAUGCCAUUAAUUUGGUGUUGCGGGGAAUUUGGACUGUUACUUUGAAAAAAUUAGAGUGUUUAAAGCAAGCUAACGCUUGAAUACAUUAGCAUGGAAUAAUGAAAUAGGACGUUCGAUCUUAUUUUGUUUGGUUUCUAGGAUUGACGUAAUGAUUAAUAGGGAUAGUUGG
rnacentral:rRNA from 1 species